rnacentral:rRNA from 1 species
UCUAAUGGACAAGUUAAUAUAAAAACUUUAAAGUUAAGCAUGUUCGGGCGAGAGUAAUUCAAUGAUGGGUGACCUCCUGGGAAAUUAAGUUGUGUUGUAA